CAGUCGCCGCGGGAAUACGUAUGUCACAAGCGUUAUCCGGAUUUAUUGGGCGUAAAGCGCGUCUAGGUGGUUAUGUAAGUCAGAUGUGAAAAUGCAGGGCUCAACUCUGUAUUGCGUUGGAAACUGUGUAACUAGAGUACUGGAGAGGUAAGCGGAACUACAAGUGUAGAGGUGAAAUUCGUAGAUAUUUGUAGGAAUGUCGAUGGGGAAGCCAGCUUACUGGACAGAUACUGACGCUAAAGCGCGAAAGCGUGGGGAGCGAACAGGAUUAGAUACCCCUGUAGUCCCUGUCUCUUAUACA
rnacentral:rRNA from 1 species